rnacentral:rRNA from 1 species
ACAAGUACCGUGAGGGAAAGUUGCAAAGCACUUUGAAGAGAGAGUUAAAGAGGACGUGAAACCGGUAAGGUGGAAACGGAUAGAGUCGGCGUAUCAUUCAAUUAUUCAGUUACAUUAUUUUUAUGUUGUGACCUCUGAGCUCCAGAUUGGGACAGAGGGAAUCAGCAUAAUUUUUUGUGGUGCAUUUACUUGAUUGGUGCUUGGGGAUGUUUGAGGCAGGUUUGUUUCCGUCGUUUUGAGGCCAGCUUGCUGGUACCCAAACGGUGUUAGCAUUUUUUGUCUUGGGCAUUUGAGUAUGGCUCACGUGUAUUUAUUGGACAGAUCUGAGUGUAAGUUACGGUCGCAUGCGACACGUGCUUUUCAAUUAGUUCGGUCCAGUUAAUGCUCUCGUACUCGUUCCCCAUGUAAAAGCCGGUCAUCUAUCCGACCCGUCUUGAAACACGGACCAAGGAGUUUAUCGUGUGCGCAAGUUUUUGGGUGUUAAAAACUUAAAAGCGAAAUGAAAGUAAAUGACUCUUUAGAGUCUGAUGUGCGAUCUUGUAAAAAAGUGUAGCAUGGCCCCAUUCUAACUGUUUACAGUAGGGUGGCGGAAGAGCGUACGCGGUGAGACCCGAAAGAUGGUGAACUAUUCCUGAGCAGGACGAAGCCAGAGGAAACUCUGGUGGAAGUCCGAAGCGGUUCUGACGUGCAAAUCGAUCGUCUGACUUGGGUAUAGGGGCGAAAGACUAAUCGAACCAUCUAGUAGCUGGUUCCUUCCGA